CAGGCAUGCUGGACUACAUGAUUUGGCCGUGGGUUGAGAGGCUUCCAAUGGCAGAGAUGAUGGCAGGAGGUUUGAAGGUCUUCCAGCAAGAAACCUUUCCCAAAUUGUCCUCUUGGAUGGAGGCAAUGAUACAAGACAAAGUUGUUCAGGCCACCUACUUACCACCAGAAGCGCAUAUUGAGUACCUUACUUCCAUUAGAAAUCGGACAGUGACGCUAUCCAAGCUUUCGUAAAACUUGAGAUGGACUUUCUGUAAAUGGACUGAACUAUGAAUCAAGUUUGCUUGGGUGGAGAAAAUGAAGGAAGACAAAGCUGUGAGUGCAGUCUUCAUAAGUGCCGAAUCCCAUUUCAAGUUCCUGAAGUCACACGUCGAUGGUGCUCCAGCUUACGACAUGGAGGUUUAAGGACUCAAUCAUUCCAGGAUAAAGUGAAGACAGACUUGAAAACACAAAGAGGAUGUUUAUGCCGUUUUCCUUUAGGAUUUGUUCAGGCUCUGAAUGGUAUUCAUUAUAGUUAAUGAUUUGUUGAAUCAGUAAAUUAACUUCUUAUUUACUGAUUGGGAAAGCAUUCAUUUAUUUAGAAAGCUUAAAAAUACUUUGUUGUGAAGCUUCAUAUGUAUGAAACUUAUCAGUGAAAGUAUGAUGAAAAGCUUCUGUCUUUGUGUUGUUUUAAAUGAAAUCUCUAUAUAUAUGUUAAAUAUAUGUUGGAUAAUAAUUUUAAAUCUGUCAGGGAUCAUUAAAAACAUUGUUUCAAUGAAUUUGUUUUAUGUUUUAAUAUCAAGAAUAAUAAUGUCUGUUGAAUAUA